rnacentral:rRNA from 1 species
GAUGAACGCUAGCUACAGGCUUAACACAUGCAAGUCGAGGGGCCGGCGCACGGGCGAGUAACGCGUACCCGACCUUCCCAUUACUGUGGGAUAACAUGCCGAAAGGCACACUAAUACCGCCUAGUAAUGGAUGGGGGUGCGUCUGAUUAGCUUGGUGGCGGGGUAACGGCCCACCAAGGCGACGAUCAGUAGGGGGUCUGAGAGGAAGGUCCCCCACAUUGGAACUGAGGCACGGUCCAAACCCCGAGGGGAGGGAGGAGAGAGGUAUAUUGGGCAAUAGACGUUGUGCUGAACCGGCAGAGUGGCUUACAAUGGGUCGGCCUUGGGGUGGUAAGCUGCUUGUGUAUGAGGAGCGGUACCAUACGAAUAAGGACCGGCUAAUUCCGUGCCAGCAGCCGCGGUAAUUC